CGCACAGAUCGUGGCAGUUGCUCUUAAUCAAAUAGGUGAGGAAAGUCCGGGCACCAAAGAGUAGUGCACCCCGUGUAAGCGGGGCGGCUGUGAGGCCAGGGAUAGUGGCACAGAAACAAUACCGCCCAGCCUAUAGUUGGGUAAGGGUGAAAAGAGUGGAGGUAAGAGCUCCCAACAAUUCGUCAAAAGGCGAGUUGGCGCAAAACUCCUGCAUGGUGCAAGUUCGGUGGGCUCGAACGUCGUCAAACCUGCGACUCGCAGGGAUGUCCACGAGUCCGAACGCGUAGAUAGAUAACUGCCUUCGCCACCGGCGAAACAGAACCCGGCUUAUGAAUCUUGUGUGCGCC
rnacentral:RNase_P_RNA from 1 species